AUAUUGCGCAAUGGGGGAAACCCUGACGCAGCAACGCCGCGUGAGCGACGAAGGCCUUCGGGUCGUAAAGCUCUGUCUAGAGGGAUGAAAACCGCCAGUACCACGGGAGGAAGCCCCGCCUAACUACGUGCCAGCUGCCGCGGUAAUACGUAGGGGGCAAGCGUUGUCCGGAUUUACUGGGCGUAAAGGGCGCGUAGGCGGUAGUUUGAGUCAGAUGUGAAAGUCCAGGGCUGAACCGUGGAAUUGCAUUUGAAACUGAAUUACUUGAGUGCAGGAGAGGAGAGCGGAAUUCCUAGUGUAGCGGUGAAAUGCGUAGAUAUUAGGAAGAACACCAGUGGCGAUGGCGGCUCUCUGGACUGUAACUGACGCUGAGGCGCGAAAGCGUGGGGAGCGAAC
rnacentral:rRNA from 1 species